UUUAGUGUCGUCCUUUACCAAAUUGAGAAAGAGGGAAACUGAAGAGAGGUUAGCAGAGAAAUAACGAAUCAAAAGGGAAGAAAAUUUCAAAGAAAAAUAGGAAGGAAAAAAAGUAGAGGUUAUCUCAGCAAUCAACAGAAACGAAGCAAGGUUGGAAUCGAUCUUUGCACGAUUGUUGGGCAAAACUGCGAGAUUUGUGUCCCAGGUAAGUCGUUUCUGUCAAUGGUCGAUUAAAUUUUUAGGGUUUUGUUUCAGUCUUAGCUAUUUGGGAUUUAAGGUUUCGAUUAAACUAAUUCAACAAUGUAUUGAAGCUAAUUAUACUGGGAUUUAGGGUUCCGAUAUGUUAGAUUUGUGGUAUCCAUGAUUUCUCAAAAGUUUCAUUACACUGGCACAUUUCUUGAGCACCAUCUUUAAUCACUAUAAAGCAUGACUUUACGAGAAAAAUCCUUCAUAUUGCAUGUCUGCAAAUGCAUUGUCUUCCAAUUUGUCAUUUUGCUAUAAUUCAUGCCAUGUCUGCAAAUGCCUUGUCAUUUUGCAAAUGCAUGAAUAUCUAACCACAUCUUAUUUGACAUUGCUAUCCUAUGAUGUGGGGGAACUCAUUAUUCUGCUAAUAUUUGAUUUAACUCUUGUAAAGCAGUAUCAACUUCACGGAUUGCAAUUCAACUUAAAGACAAAAGCAAUUGGGGUUAUCUUCACCUUAAUAUUAUACUUAGACGACUGCAAUUAAAUGUGGUUCUUUGCUUUUCUAUGGCUAUGAAUUCUUAUAAAAAAGCUUGAUUAGGUAUUUCUUUAGUUAGCUAGAGGUCUUCUAUCUUGAAUGGGAAAAAGGUAGCAGUAGUGUUACUUGUAAAACCGGCCUCGCCCCCCCAAGGGAGCUUUUCUAGUUUGAAUAUGGUUCUUUGAGCAUAUAUGUUAUCACAACUAAUAAAAUUAUGGUUUAAAGAUAUUUUUAAGUUAAAAUUUUGAGAAAUAAUUAUUAAAAUUAUGGUUUUGGUUUAAAGAUAUUUUUAAGUUAAAAUCUCACUAUUUAUAAAUUUUUAUUUAAAAAAUAAAAGAAUUCCUUAUUUACUUGUUCCUAAAUUUUGCAUUUAGGCUGUAGUUUCUGUGUUGCCUUGUUGCUUUGAGAUUCUUAGCUGAAACAGUGGCACCCUCAUGAAGGCCUUGUUGCCUUGUUGCAUUGUAGGCCCGAAUGACUAUGGCUCUAAUAUUUGUCCAUGUGAACUUGUUUGCGCAUACUGCUUUCGCAUUUAGGCUGUAGCUGCUAUUCACUUUUUUCUUCUGUUUAUUAGCGAAAUUUACUUCUGUUGCCUUCUGUUUUUUUUUUCUUACUUCUAUUUUUUUGGUAGUAAAGUACUUCUGUCUUUUUUUUCCAGGAUUUGCUUCGAAAUUGAGGAAAUAGAAGGUAUUUAUUCAUAUGUUUCCCUAAUUAGUUUUCUUAAAAAAAUGUCCAAUUGUUUAAUUUUUUGUAUGGUUAUAUCUUAGCUUUAUAGUUUAAUUAUUAAUUUUGAUUUUGAUUUUUAGAAGGGAGUUUUAAUUAAAGCAGAGGCGGCAGC
rnacentral:lncRNA from 1 species